GACGAACGCUGGCGGCGUGCCUAAUACAUGCAAGUCGAGCGGAUCUUCUCCUUCGGGAGAAGGUUAGCGGCGGACGGGUGAGUAACACGUAGGCAACCUGCCCACAAGACCGGGAUAACAUUCGGAAACGAAUGCUAAGACCGGAUACGCAACUUGGUCGCAUGACUGGGUUGGGAAACACGGUGCAAGCUGUGGCUUGUGGAUGGGCCUGCGGCGCAUUAGCUAGUUGGUGAGGAAACGGCCCACCAAGGCGACGAUGCGUAGCCGACCUGAGAGGGUGAACGGCCACACUGGGAGUGAGAAACGGCCCAGACUCCUACGGGAGGCAGCAGUAGGGAAUCUUCCACAAUGGGCGAAAGCCUGAUGGAGCAACGCCGCGUGAGUGAGGAAGGCUUUCGGGUCGUAAAGCUCUGUUGCCAGGGGAGAAUAAGGGCUAGUUAACUGCUAGUCCGAUGACGGUACCUGAGAAGAAAGCCCCGGCUAACUACGUGCCAGCCGCCGCAGUAAUAC
rnacentral:rRNA from 1 species